GCUGCCUUGGGCAGCAUGUGUGCUGAAAUUGGAACAAUACAGAGAAGAUUAGCAUGGCUCCUGCACAAAGAUGACAUGCAAAUUCAUGAAGCGCUCCAUAGUUUG